rnacentral:rRNA from 1 species
CCAAUAGCGUAUAUUAAAGUUGUUGCAGUUAAAAAGCUCGUAGUUGAAUUUCGAGACCGGCUUACUGGUCGUGCUUUUGUACGUACUGGUAUAAUCGGUUUCUCCCUUCUGACGAACUAUAAUGCCAUUAAUUUGGUGUUAUAGGGAAUCAGGACUGUUACUUUGAAAAAAUUAGAGUGUUUAAAGCAGGCUCACGCUUGAAUACAUUAGCAUGGAAUAACGGAAUAGGACGUUUGAUUCUAUUUUGUUGGUUUCUAGGAUCGACGUAAUGAUUAAUAGGGAUAGUUGGGGGCAUUAGUAUUCAAUUGUCAGAGGUGAAAUUCUUGGAUUUAUUGAAGACUAACUACUGCGAAAGCAUUUGCCAAGGAUGUUUUCAUUAAUCAAGAACGAAAGUUAGGGGAUCGAAGACGAUCAGAUACCGUCGUAGUCUUAACCAUAAACUAUGCCGACUAGGGAUCGGAUGAUGUUAAUUUUUUAAUGACUCAUUCGGCGCCUUACG